GCCGAUUCUUUCUCUCUCUUCCCACUCAUUUCUCUUUCUUUCUUUUCUUUUCAUCUAACUCUCUCGUCCCUUUUCCCUCUUUAUGGCACAACAAAUGCAGACAGCAGCUCGCCGCUGUCCUACAGCAGACCACGACAUCGCCACCAUCUCCGCAACCCUUUCAUAACCACGAAUCCUUUUCUAACAUCUGUUAUUCGAAACUUGGAGGAAAAACCUUCAAACCAAGGAGCUCCGACGCGAAGGAGGAACUCUGGCGAUACUCCUCGGUGUCCUCGAACAAUGUAAGAAUAACGGAUUCCAUGUCCGGCUAGCUGCAGAGAACUCCGGCAAAGAUUCUGGCCAAAUAUUUUCCGUUCUGACGAGAACAGGCCCAUUUUGUUCCAUCUUCAGGUUAUCUAGACCUAGUUCGAGCCUUGCAUGCUCGAUUCCAGGACUGCUGCAAUAAAAUCCAACGAAAACCCUUUUCGAGUUCGUGAGAAUCCAGCAAAAUUCGACUUUCCUAGCCACCUAGGGGCCUUAAUUCUGGUAUAAGCUUAUUCGGAUUGACGAAUGACAAGGCUUAUCGAGAGCAAGCAUGCUUUGGUUACGUGAGUGGGUCUUUUCGUUUUUAGUAAAUAUGUGUAUAUAUGAUUUUUCUAGACAACUGUUUUUAUAUAUUAUGAUGUGACAUGUCAUGUUUAUCUUCUUAUAAGAUUUUCUAUACUUUAUAUUUUUAUUAACUGCGAGUAUAAAAUGUGGCAUGACGUAUUUAUUCAUUAUAUAUGCUCAUUGUUGCAUGUGUGCACGAUGUUUAUUAGUUAGUUGUACUGUCAUGGGUUAAGGACUAGCUUUACAUGUAUGUUAACAUGCACCAUUUACGUUCGUUUUGGAUCCAAAGUUAGGUGUCAGCCUGUCCUUAGGUUUGUUGUUAUGUGAUGCGCAUAGCACCAGCUUCACGUGAUGUAGUACUAAAUGUAAAAUCUACACCCAGCCUAUUCAUGCAGCUACUUUCUGUAUGGCUUGUGUGCCUACAUAGAUAAUGAGCAGUGAUUUUCAUAGCAGUGAAUUUUUAAUGAUUUUCAUAACUGCAAUUUUAUGACAGCUAUUUGAGUUUUGAUAAUGAGAUAUUUCGUAGUAGCACCCUAUACCCUUUAACUCAUUUGUGCUGCAGGUUCCCUACAACCUAUUAUUAUAUUAUUACUUUCGGAAAUCAUAUACUUAUUUUAUAGUGAGGGGUUAUACAUUUUCAAAAAUGUUUCAGAAAACUUUAUUUUCUAGGCCCACUCACCUUUGUUUUAGCCCCUCAAGAACGUAGAGAUUGAGCUAGUGGGAGUACGAGGUUUUAGUGGAAGUAGCUAAUUGUCCUGCAGUCAAAGUAGGCUGCUUAUGUACUAAAUAAUCAUCCUUUACGGAUGAGACAACUUUUAUCUUUCUACACUAUGCUCUGAACUUCACGUUUUGUAAUAAGGGUUACCACCCAGUCACGUUGUGCACUCUGGAUUAUUUAUUUAAAGUUUAAAUUUAUCCUCACUUUUACACAUCAACCUUACUUUACGGCUUCGUCACCUUCCAACUAGAACAUGACUCGAAUAAGAGGAUACCUGCAAAUAAAGAUAUGACACUACAUAAUAAUAAUAAUAACCCCUAAUGUAACAAGAAACUAAACGAGACGGAAGCACCAAAUACAUAAACCAAUGGUCUAGUGCUGCAAUAUCAUAUGAGAGAUGAAAGCUCUCAAACUAAUUGUGGGAUACAAAAAU